rnacentral:lncRNA from 1 species
UUAGCUCCAUGCACUCCUCCAGAGGAUUUAAUGACAUCACCUUGGCCAACAUUCAGGAAUUCAGAACUCUAAGUUACCCUGAACUAUCUAAAAACGAAAAUGGAAAGAUAAUUCUGCUUCAUGUCUGGUGUACUCCAACUGUGGAUAAGGGUGCCCUUCAGGGCCUUAAAGGACAGGAACAAAGUAUGGCAGUUUGUCAUCAGAGCUCCAGGAAGCCACGAGGAAACUGAGCUUAGGAACCAAAUUGCUCAAAAUGGGAAAGAAAUGAAGAGAUGUACAGCAGAUGCUCUCAGCCUGGAAGUGUAACCUUCGGGAAGAAGGAACCACCAGUCAUGCUAAUUGGUCUUGAACAAGGCUUGUUUGCGCUGAGAGAUGAGAGAGAGCACCCCAUUUCUUCCUGAUUCAGUUCUGUAGACAUCUUUCUGGGAUUUGCAAUUGAUAAUUAUAGACACAGAGAUACACUUGGCCUAAUUUGCCAGCCUAUUUGGAGUCAUGAGUGUCACCCUGUAUGUCUGGUAUAUGUGC